rnacentral:rRNA from 1 species
GAUGAACGCUGGCGGCGUGCCUAAUACAUGCAAGUCGAGCGAACAGACGAGGAGCUUGCUCCUCUGACGUUAGCGUCGGACGGGUGAGUAACACGUUGAUAACCUACCUAUAAGACUGGGAUAACUUCGGGAAACCGGAGCUAAUACCGGAUAAUAUAUUUAACCGCAUGGUUCAAUAGUUAAAGACGGUUUUGCUGUCACUUAUAUAUGGAUCCGCGCCGCAUUAGCUAGUUGGUAAGGUAACGGCUUACCAAGGCAACGAUGCGUAGCCGACCUGAGAGGGUGAUCGGCCACACUGGAACUGAGACACGGUCCAGACUCCUACGGGAGGCAGCAGUAGGGAAUCUUCCGCAAUGGGCGAAAGCUUGACGGAGCAAAGCCGCGUGAGUGAUGAAGGUCUUCGGAUCGUAAAACUCUGUUAUUAGGGAAGAACAAAUGUGUAAGUAACUAUGCACGUCUUGACGGUACCUAAUCAGAAAGCCACGGCUAACUACGUG